rnacentral:sRNA from 1 species
ACCUCCGCCGGGCCGGGCCCCACGCCGGCGGCGGAUUGGCUCCCUCCGAGGGCACGCACGCCCGGGGACUCGUUGGCGGCGUGGAGGGGCGCCGGUGGCCACGUUGGUAUCAACCUCCUUCGUGAAGCUCACACCUCCCCCGCCCCGGGAGGGGUUUGCCCGCCACUGUCGCUGAAUGAUUGCAUCAUCGAAAGCAGAAAACCACUUUUGCAUCCAUCGGCCUCUGGCGUGCCUGCCAUGACAUCAUAGCUCUGCGGAGGUGGAAGUUGGGGAGCUUUGAGGUAACUGGAUUCUUGAUCUGAGCGCAGACGUCCUUCCUAACCUCACUGCAUUUGGAGGACCUGGAGGCAGGGUGGGUGAAGGGCAAGGAAAGAGGCAGGACGAGAGCUUGGCCGCGGUGGCGUCUGAGGGGCCUGAAUGUUUCAAGGCCAGAGCCUGGCGAUCAGGUGGCUCGCUUAGUCCUAAACCAGUCAUCCUUCUCCAGCCCUCCUCUGUAAAAUGGAAACUCUGUCCCCUUGCUUGUCUUAGGACCUCAUGGAUCCCAGGGGGACCAAGAGAGAAGCUGAGAAGACAGAGGUAGCUGAGCCUCGGAACAAACUACCUCGUCCAGCACCUUCUCUGCCCACAGACCCUGCCCUCUACUCUGGGCCCUUUCCUUUCUACCGGCGCCCUUCGGAACUGGGCUGCUUCUCCCUGGAUGCUCAACGCCAGUACCAUGGAGAUGCCCGAGCCCUGCGCUACUAUAGCCCACCCCCCACUAACGGUCCAGGCCCCAACUUUGACCUCAGAGACGGAUACCCGGAUCGAUACCAGCCCCGGGACGAGGAGGUCCAAGAAAGGCUGGACCACCUGCUGUGCUGGCUUCUGGAACACCGAGGCCGGUUGGAGGGGGGUCCAGGCUGGCUGGCAGAGGCCAUAGUGACGUGGCGGGGGCACCUCACAAAACUGCUGACGACACCGUAUGAGCGGCAGGAGGGCUGGCAGCUGGCAGCCUCCCGGUUCCAGGGAACACUAUACCUAAGUGAAGUGGAGACGCCAAACGCUCGGGCCCAGAGGCUUGCUCGGCCACCGCUCCUCCGGGAGCUUAUGUACAUGGGAUACAAAUUUGAGCAGUACAUGUGUGCAGGUGAGUUGCCCCUGCUUCAUAGCCCCCUUCCCCUUCCCAGAGAUUGAGAGCCACCCACCCCUGCUGCUGCUUCUCUCCUUGUGCAGACAAACCUGGAAGCUCCCCAGACCCCUCUGGGGAGGUUAACACCAACGUGGCCUUCUGCUCUGUGCUACGCAGCCGCCUGGGAAGCCACCCUCUGCUCUUCUCAGGGGAGGUAGACUGCACAGACCCCCAGGCCCCAUCCACACAGCCCCCAACCUGCUAUGUGGAGCUCAAGACCUCCAAGGAGAUGCACAGCCCUGGCCAAUGGAGGAGUUUCUACAGACACAAGCUCCUGAAAUGGUGGGCUCAGUCAUUCCUCCCAGGGGUCCCGAAUGUUGUUGCUGGCUUCCGUAACCCAGAGGGUUUUGUCUCUUCCCUCGAGACCUUUCCUACCAUGAAGAUGUUUGAAUAUGUCAGGAAUGACCGUGACGGCUGGAAUCCCUCUGUGUGCAUGAACUUCUGUGCCGCCUUCCUUAGCUUUGCCCAGAGCACGGUUGUCCAGGAUGACCCCAGGCUCGUUCACCUCUUCUCUUGGGAGCCUGGUGGCCCAGUCACCGUGUCUGUACACCGAGAUGCACCUUAUGCCUUCCUGCCCAUAUGGUAUGUGGAAGCUAUGACUCAGGACCUCCCAUCACCCCCCAAGACUCCCUCCCCUAAAUAGUAAUGCUUUAGAGGGAGGCAGUCAUAUCUCUAUGUGCAGAUAAUAAAAGCUUAUUUUUAAGAGGUUC